ACGAUUGUCUUGAGCUUGUGCACCCGUGUCAGCUUCUCAGCCCAGUGUGGCGUUAACCCGUGACACACAGCCCUGCGUUGAGCCUGCCAGAGACUGCUUCAUUUUAAACUUCUAAACUCCACCUUUCUCCAAAACCCUGUCUUCCUGGGCUGAGAGACGGGGUCUUACUCUUUCUCAGGCUGGUCUUGAACUCCUGAACUCAAGCGAUUCUCCUGCCUUUGCCUCCCAGAGUGCUGCGAGUAGGCGUGAGCCACUAUACCCGGUCACGUGUACAUAUAUAUUUUUAAAAGAGAUGGGAUCUCGCUCUUGCUCAGGCUGGUUUCGAACUCCUGACCUCGAGCAAUCCACCCACCUCAGCCUCCCAGAGUACUAGGAUUACAUGCGUGAGCCACCGCGCCUGGCCUGCUUCAUUUCUUUUAUGUAAGAAAUUAAGUUUUAAUCUUUUGGUCCCCAGGGUAAUCACAUUAUCAAAAUGAGAAAAGGGAAUAUUUGGGAGGAGGGACACCUGGUAAGGAUAUUACUAGGAUAAUCCUACAAAAAGAGGGUAUUUGAUUACCUCUGCUCUCAGGCAUUGUGAAGAGGAGUUAGAAGGGAAUGGGGUAAAUGCCUGACAGUCUGAGAUAAAAACUAGUGGUUCUCCUGUUCUUGACUUCAGGGCUACAGGGAGGCUGAGUAAAAACUUGGGUUUACAUUUCAUAUAUUCAGUAAGAGUUAAAUAUUCUAUUUUCUUAAUUUGUUAUGUAGCCCUUUUCCUUGUUUAG
rnacentral:lncRNA from 1 species